rnacentral:rRNA from 1 species
CCUACGGGAGGCAGCAGUAGGGAAUCUUCCGCAAUGGACGAAAGUCUGACGGAGCAACGCCGCGUGAGUGAUGAAGGUUUUCGGAUCGUAAAACUCUGUUGUUAGGGAAGAACAAGUGUGAGAGUAACUGCUCACACCUUGACGGUACCUAACCAGAAAGCCACGGCUAACUACGUGCCAGCAGCCGCGGUAAUACGUAGGUGGCAAGCGUUGUCCGGAAUUAUUGGGCGUAAAGCGCUCGCAGGCGGUCUUUUAAGUCUGAUGUGAAAGCCCACGGCUUAACCGUGGAGGGUCAUUGGAAACUGGAGGACUUGAGUACAGAAGAGGAGAGUGGAAUUCCACGUGUAGCGGUGAAAUGCGUAGAGAUGUGGAGGAACACCAGUGGCGAAGGCGACUCUCUGGUCUGUAACUGACGCUGAGGAGCGAAAGCGUGGGGAGCGAACAGGAUUAGAUACCCUGGUAGUCCACGCCGUAAACGAUGAGUGCUAGGUGUUAGGGGGUUUCCGCCCCUUAGUGCUGCAGUUAACGCAUUAAGCACUCCGCCUGGGGAGUACGGCCGCAAGGCUGAAACUCAAAAGAAUUGACGGGGACCCGCACAAGCGGUGGAGCAUGUGGUUUAAUUCGACGCAACGCGAAGAACCUUACCAGGUCUUGACAUCCUCUGACAACCCUAGAGAUAGGGCUUUCCCUUCGGGGACAGAGUGACAGGUGGUGCAUGGUUGUCGUCAGCUCGUGUCGUGAGAUGUUGGGUUAAGUCCCGCAACGAGCGCAACCCUUGAUCUUAGUUGCCAGCAUUUAGUUGGGCACUCUAAAGUGACUGCCGGUGACAAACCGGAGGAAGGUGGGGAUGACGUCAAAUCAUCAUGCCCCUUAUGACCUGGCUACACACGUGCUACAUGGAUGGAACAAAGGGAAGCUAAACCGCGAGGUCAGCAAUCCCAUAAAACCAUUCUCAGUUCGGAUUGUAGCUGCAACUCGCCUACAUGAAGCCGGAAUCGCUAG